rnacentral:rRNA from 1 species
CAAGUCGUGGGGCAGCAUGAAGUAGCAAUACUUUGAUGGCGACCGGCAAACGGGUGCGGAACACGUACACAACCUUCCUUUUAGUGGGGAAUAGCCCAGAGAAAUUUGGAUUAAUACCCCGUAACAUAGCGAUGUGGCAUCACAUUGCUAUUAUAGCUUCGGCGCUAGAUGAUGGGUGUGCGUAUGAUUAGAUAGUUGGCGAGGUAACGGCUCACCAAGUCUACGAUCAUUAGCUGAUGUGAGAGCAUGAUCAGCCACACGGGCACUGAGACACGGGCCCGACUCCUACGGGAGGCAGCAGUAAGGAAUAUUGGUCAAUGGACGAAAGUCUGAACCAGCCAUGCCGCGUGAAGGAUUAAGGUCCUCUGGAUUGUAAACUUCUUUUAUAUGGGACGAAAAAAGGUCUUUCUAGAUCACUUGACGGUACCAUAUGAAUAAGCACCGGCUAACUCCGUGCCAGCAGCCGCGGUAAUACGGAGGGUGCAAGCGUUAUCCGGAUUCACUGGGUUUAAAGGGUGCGUAGGCGGGCAGGUAAGUCAGUGGUGAAAUCCUGGAGCUCAACUCCAGAACUGCCAUUGAUACUAUCUGUCUUGAAUAUUGUGGAGGUAAGCGGAAUAUGUCAUGUAGCGGUGAAAUGCUUAGAUAUGACAUAGAACACCCAUUGCGAAGGCAGCUUACUACGCAUAUAUUGACGCUGAGGCACGAAAGCGUGGGGAUCAAACAGGAUUAGAUACCCUGGUAGUCCACGCCCUAAACGAUGGAUACUCGACAUACGCGAUACACUGUGUGUGUCUGAGCGAAAGCAUUAAGUAUCCCACCUGGGAAGUACGUUCGCAAGAAUGAAACUCAAGGAAUUGGCGGG